GGGAUUUGUGGGGGCCUUUGAUUCUUUGUGUGACACUCGCAUUAAUGCUGCAAAGAGGCUCUGCAGAUAGUGAAAAAGAUGGAGGGCCCCAGUUUGCAGAGGUGUUUGUCAUUGUCUGGUUUGGUGCAGUUACCAUCACCCUAAACUCAAAACUUCUUGGAGGAAACAUAUCUUUUUUUCAGAGCCUCUGUGUGCUGGGUUACUGUAUACUUCCCUUGACGGUGGCAAUGCUGAUUUGCCGGCUGGUACUUUUGGCUAAGCCAGGACCAGUAAACUUCAUGGUUCGGCUUAUUGUGGUGAUCGCGAUGUUUGCCUGGUCUAUAGUCGCCUCUACAGCUUUUCUUGCCGACAGCCAGCCUCCAAACCGCAAAGCCCUGGCCGUUUAUCCUGUUUUCCUGUUCUAUUUUGUCAUCAGUUGGAUGAUUCUCACCUUUACUCCUUAGUAAAACAGGAAAUGGGAAUUCAAAAUGAGCAAACUGAAAGCUCAUCUGAAAAAAUGCAAUUCAACAUGCAGCUUUGCCUCUGGCCCUCUUUUGUUUAAUUUUAGAGGUAUUUGGUAACUGGGUAGAGGAGGAGAUGAAAAGGGAGCCAUAUAGCACUAUUGCCACCUCUGUGAGAAACUGAUGUUUGAAAGGCUGUCCUUUUCCUCUUAAUGUCAUUUCUUUAAAGUACAUGUGCAUACAACGCAUAGUAUAAUGCCUCCUAAAGGCGUGAUGGAGUCACUGUGGUCCAUGUGGGUGAAAACCAAUGACUAGGGAAGCACAUGGCUAUGUCCUAUAAAUUGAAUAGAGUUGGUAACUAUUUUCAGUUUUGAGAAUACCGGUUCAGGUGCAGCUCUUAAACAUACUGCCUUAUGACUAUUAGAAUAUGCCUCUCUUUUCAUAAGAAAGGAUGGAUGGUCUGUAUCCAUUUGCUUUUGUUUCUCUCAAGCUUAAAAAGGCAAUGACAGAAGUUAAGGAGGGGUUUCACAGACGUGGAAUGAGAAAAUAUGCAUUAGCCAACAUUCAGAUUUGGAUCAGAGGAAAUUCUACACUUGUUGC